AUAAAGAAAUCAAUUUCUGGUGUUAUUCAUAUCUCUUGGCCGACUCUCUCUUUCUCUCUUACCCUUUCAAUUUUUCAACUUGUUUUGGUGAGGAAAAGCUUGGUUGGAGCUUGAUUCUUGGGAAAUUUAUUGUGCUAAGCUUUGAAUUGGGAAUUAAGAUUUGCGUGACUAGGAUUACCGGCACCUGAUCAGGAGCACCCGGGGAUUUGGAAUCUCUGAUAUUACAGGACAACAGGAAAGGGUAAGGCAUUAGCUGAUCAGCCAUGAGUUCAGGAGCUGGGCGAAGAAUGUACAUGUCCGAGCCAUAUUAGACCAAGCGGGUUAAGGGUCUACCAGCGAUGUAUUUUGAAACUCUAUUUUGCCGCUUAGGCCGGCUGUAAGAAAAAGACUUGUAAUAAAGUUUGUAAAUAUUUUUUGGGAUCCCAAAUGUUAUAAAGUUUAAAUUAUUACAAGUUUUAUUUCCAUUCCGUUUA